GCUCUCCCUGUAACGUGAACAGCUGAACUGUAGAUAAGUUAAUGCUACCAAGCUGACUGGAAAAUAAAGAAUUAGAAGGUACACAGACCCACAGUGGUUUGAUCAGUGCUGAUUCUCACCUGCUUGGACUCGUACUUCUUGGCUUCUGACAGUUCUGUUUUCCUUUGCUGAUAUCCUAAACUAGCCUUUCUCGGGAGCCUCUGCCCAAAGUGUCUG
rnacentral:lncRNA from 1 species